UUUUGUGGUAUAUGGCCAAUAUACCAUGGCUAAGGGCUAGGUCCAAAGAACAGCCAUUAACCGUGGUAUAUUGGCCAUAUACCACACCUCCUAGGGCAUCAUUACUUAAUUAUAGCAGUCAAAACAAGUUAAAUCGUCAUCCAUUGAUAGAAAAUUAUCUUGAGAUAAAGGGCAAUUUAUAUUUUGUCUUGCGACAUAUUCUUAAACUUACAAGAAUUAUUACUUUGAUGGAAAAACAAAUGUUGCUUCUUAGCCUACAUCGUAAAAAAUGACGUAUUCCUUAACGCUCGAUAACGUUAUAGAAAAAGGAUUUCAUGGAUACAUGUGGCAACUCCUCUCUUGCUGCGAAAACAUAUUUUUGGCUAGUUUUCAGGCCUUGUGUGCGAGUUUUCAGAGGUCAUAGGGCUAGAAAUUUGAGGUGGCCCUGGCAACACUGAGCAUGACAGUUAAACCCAGGGAGUUCUUUCAGAAAAUGGCAGAAUGCUUCAGCAAACAGUGCUUUGACAGUGGAAAGAAAUAGCAGAGGAUACUGCUGAUGAUGCUGGCGAAGGUCCAGACUCCGAUGCUGAGUCGGACCCAGAAGAUGCUCUUCCCGUGGACGUGAGGCUGCAUGCACAGAGACACCAAGGUCUGCACCAGGAUGUACAGUGCCCCCACGCCAAACGUCAAUAUUGCCCCCACCAGGUGCAUGGAGAACAGAGUCGUUUUCUGGAUGUUGUUGAGAGAGAGAAUGAUUUUAUAGUACCACAUUUACAUACACUGUCAUCAAAACAAACAGGAACAAGACUCUCUCACACACACACGUGUCAAUGGGUACCUGAAAGUUAGCAACAAUGCACAUGCCAAAGGAGCUGGUCCAUCCCAGCACCAAACCCAAGAGGUUGAGUUUAUGCAGCUUCGACUCCUCUUCGACUGUCAAGGCUUGGACCUGCUUGUAGCGUACGUACAUGGUGGCUAUGCCUGCCACGACAAACACGAUCACAAAUCAAAACAGUCACAAAUUCGGUCAGGUUUAUAGCUGGUUUCAAAUGUAUUGCUAGAUUCCAAAGAGGAAUCCGAGAGAUAAUGGUGGUGUUACCUAAGUAUGCUGAGAUGUCCAGCAUGAUUCCAAACACACAUCUCUCUGGGGCAACCGUCCCUGUGUCGCUGUGAACAGAAACAUGACCAUCAAAAAUGUAAUCUCCCACUCUCACAAUGUAAUGUACAAUUGUAAUACAUGUAAAAUUGUGUCUACUACUUAUAAAGUGAAGUGAUUGCAAGUAUAAUGGUACAAAGGCACAGAGGAUGGUGUUGAGCCUGUGUCUGACCUGAUGUAUGGCACCAGUGGGUCCACAUGUUUCAGCAGCACAGCAGUGAUGUAAGCAAAGAUGAACGUGGCCGCCGUCCAUAAUACCAAAGCCACCGGUAGAAUACAAAGACCCUGCUGGAACCACCACAUAUCCUCUGCUGUGUGUGUCAAACCACCAGUAGCCUAUCCAAAUUAGACCACAGAUGCUGGUAUAUUGCCUUCACCUGUAGAUAUUGGAUUAUGUGAAGCACCACACACACACAGAGAAAAAUAGCUGAAGCUGCUGCACACUUGUUUCCUCAUUCUGGAUAAAAGCUCAGUAUCAAGAGACUACAAUGUAUUCCUGCCACGUGAUCGCAUUUCUCAGUUCCUCUACUAGUUGUGUGGCUUGAUGUAGUCAAGUGACUUGAGAUACAGAGCGAGCUAGUUACAUUUGGUAGGCUACAAUGUAUUUAUUUUUUAAAUAACCUUUAUUUAACUAGGCAAGUCAGUUAAGAACAAAUUCUUAUUUGAAAUGAUGCUACAAUACACGCUACUGUUUAAUAAAAUAAGUAGAGUGAACAAGA